rnacentral:tRNA from 2 species
GGCGGAUGUACCCAAGUGGAUCAAGG